AAUUCGACGCAACGCGAAGAACCUUACCAGGGCUUGACAUCCCUGACCGCGUAUGAAAGUACGUUUCACCUCGGGUGACAGGGAGACAGGUGGUGCAUGGUUGUCGUCAGCUCGUGUCGUGAGAUGUUGGGUUAAGUCCCGCAACGAGCGCAACCCUCGACCUUAGUUGCCAGCAUUCAGUUGGGCACUCGUAAGGUGACUGCCGGCUAAAAGUCGGAGGAAGGUGGGGAUGGCGUCAAAUCAUCAUGCCCCUUAUGACCUGGGCUACACACGUGCUACAAUGGGCGGUACAAAGGGUCGCGAACCCGCGAGGGGGAGCCAAUCCCAAAAAGCCGCUCUCAGUUCGGAUUGCAGGCUGCAACUCGCCUGCAUGAAGCCGGAAUCGCUAGUAAUCGCGGAUCAGCAUGCCGCGGUGAAUACGUUCCCGGGCCUU
rnacentral:rRNA from 1 species